rnacentral:rRNA from 1 species
ACGGAAUAGAUACCCAGGUAGUCCACGCCCUAAACGAUGUCUACUAGUUGUUGGUGGAGUAAAAUCCAUGAGUAAACGCAGCUAAACGCGUGAAGUAGACCGCCUGGGGAGUACGGUCGCAAGAUUAAAACUCAAAUGAAUUGACGGGGGCCCGCACAAGCGGUGGAUUAUGUGGAUUAAUUCGAUGCAACGCGAAAACCUUACCUGGCCUUGACAUGUAACGAACUUUCCAGAGAUGGAUUGGUGCUCGAAAGAGAACGUUAACACAGGUGCUGCAUGGCUGUCGUCAGCUCGUGUCGUGAGAUGUUGGGUUAAGUCCCGCAACGAGCGCAACCCUUGCCAUUAAUUGCCAUCAUUUAGUUGGGCACUUUAAUGGGACUGCCGGUGACAAACCGGAGGAAGGUGGGGAUGACGUCAAGUCCUCAUGGCCCUUAUGGCCAGGGCUUCACACGUAAUACAAUGGUCGGUACAGAGGGUUGCAACCCGCGAGGGGUAGCCAAUCCCAGAAAGCCGAUCGUAGUCCGGAUUGUAGUCUGCAACUCGAC